UCUCUUGCCUUUAGGACUCUGCAUUUUGUGUUCACUUACAAUUAUGUACCUCCACCUUAGAGAUAUCAUGCUGGAGAUGGAAGUGCUACAUGUGGCCCCAGGCUGGGUUUUUUUCAUGAGCAUCUUCACUUGUUUCCUGUGCUUAGUGUUGGGUACACUUCGGUUACUGUGGCAGAAGUAUCUGGUCCAAGUAAAGAAAAAACGGAGAACCACAAUAAUGUUAGUAGAGGGAGAAGCUCCUCUUGGCAUCCAUGAGAUGUAUCCCUAAACACAGGAUUUCCCACUCUGAGCCCAGUAACAAGGUUAUAGGGUCUGACUGGACAAAAAUGGACAAUUGAAAAGGUGCUGUCACUUAGCCAAAAGCAAUUUGAAAUGUGUAAGUGUCUCAGUGAACUAUUCACCUCCAUCUGCAACAUUUGGAAGAUCAUCAGCCAAUGCUAAUUUACUGAAAUGGUUUACGAUAUUCUGCUUUCCCUGUAGAAGGAGGGAAUUCUCCACUUCUACCCACUGCCUCAUGUAGAAAAUAUAUUUUCCCAUUCCCCGGAUCAUUUUCACAAUAACAUUUACACAAUACAAUUGUAAAUAAAUACCUUGACAAAUGUAUCCUACUCCAUGGAACUUACCCUAAUGAUUGCUCCCAAAUGUCCUCUUUGACCCAAUCAUCUGUUAAAUUUCUCUUUGGUUUCUGAGUUAAUAAAAGUUGCAAGAAAUUCAUCAAUUA